UCCGGUUGAUCCUGCCAGAGGUCACUGCUAUCGGGGUUCGAUUAAGCCAUGCGAGUCGAGAGGGUUCGGCUCGGCGUACUACUCAGUAACACGUGGAUAACCUGCCCUAAGGAAGGGGAUAACCUCGGGAAACUGAGGAUAAUACCCUAUAGGUUACAGACGCUGGAAUGCCCUGUAACCGAAAGCUCCGGCGCCUUAGGAUGGAUCUGCGGCCGAUUAGUUGUUGUUGGGGUAACGGCCCAACAAGCCGAUAAUCGGUACGGGUUGUGGGAGCAAGAGCCCGGAGUUGGAUUCUGAGACAUGAAUCCAGGCCCUACGGGGUGCAGCAGGCGCGAAAACUUUACAAUGCGGGAAACCGUGAUAAGGGGAUCUCGAGUGCCAGCAUAUAAUGUUGGCUGUCCAGAUGCCUAAAAAGCAUUGUUAGCAAGGGCCGGGCAAGACCGGUGCCAGCCGCCGCGGUAACACCGGCGGCCCGAGUGGUAACCGCUAUUAUUGGGUCUAAAGGGUCUGUAGCCGGCCAGGUAAGUCCCUUGGGAAAUCUGGCAGCUCAACUGUCAGGCUGCUAGGGGAUACUGUUUGGCUUGGGACCGGGAGAGGUGAGAGGUACCUUGGGGGUAGGGGUGAAAUCUUGUGAUCCUCGAGGGACCACCAGUGGCGAAGGCGUCUCACCAGAACGGGUCCGACGGUAAGGGACGAAAGCUAGGGGCACGAACCGGAUUAGAUACCCGGGUAGUCCUAGCCGUAAACGAUGCUCGCUAGGUGUCAGUCACGGUGCGACCGUGAUUGGUGCCGUAGGGAAGCCGUGAAGCGAGCCACCUGGGAAGUAUGGCCGCAAGGCUGAAACUUAAAGGAAUUGGCGGGGGAGCACUACAACGGGUGGAGCCUGCGGUUUAAUUGGAUUCAACGCCGGAAAUCUCACCGGGGGCGACAGCGAUAUGAAGGUCAGGCUGAAGACUUUACCGGAUUAGCUGAGAGGUGGUGCAUGGCCGUCGUCAGUUCGUACUGUGAAGCAUCCUGUUAAGUCAGGCAACGAGCGAGACCCACAUCCACAGUUGCCAGCAUAUUCUCCGGAAUGAUGGGUACACUGUGGAGACCGCCGCUGCUAAAGCGGAGGAAGGAGUGGGCAACGGUAGGUCAGUAUGCCCCGAAUCUCCCGGGCUACACGCGGGCUACAAUGGUUGGUACAAUGGGCAUCUACCCCGAAAGGGGAAGGAAAUCUCUUAAAACCAAUCGUAGUUCGGAUUGAGGGCUGCAACUCGCCCUCACGAAGCUGGAAUCCGUAGUAAUCGCGUUUCAACAGAACGCGGUGAAUACGUCCCUGCUCCUUGCACACACCGCCCGUCAAACCACCCGAGUAGGGUCUGGAUGAGGGUGUGUUUUAUUGACACAUUCGAAUCUGGGCUUUGCAAGGGGGGUU
rnacentral:rRNA from 1 species